AAUGCGAUUUUUUAAUUUUGAGGGCACCGAUCAAUAGGAGUCAGAGUUCCUUAUCAAAUCCAUUUGCUGAUUUGGUACAACUCUUUAAUGCCGCUGCUUUUAAUAUCGGUGCAGGUCUUGGUGUACGUUGCAAUGUUUAUGACUUUCAACGCAAUAUCGUCCUUAGUUUCUGUCGAUGACGGUGAGCCAGACGUAAUUCCAAGCUUUCAAAGGCAAAUUGGAAUUGAGAAUUAUUAUCUAAAGUAUCCUCUGAUUUAAGCUCUCAGUAGUGCUAACGUUUUCGUAGUAAUUCUUACUGAAGAAAUUUCAAGUCGGUGAAAGCGACAGAGGUUUUCUUGAAUGUGACUGCCGAUUUAGUUCCUGUCCAUUGACGCGAAGUGAUGUAGAGCCUACAUCCUUAGAGUUUCAACCACGUCAAUGUGUUCAGAUCCAAUCGUCUUAAGUCCAUCCCAAAGAUGGCGAUCAAUGAACCUUGCUCAGUAUUAGAUUUUUUUUAAUAGCCUGCAUUAGCAAGUUGUAUGGAGUGGAAACUGAGACAAUAUUAAGCUUUCGUAUUCCUUGUGCUGUUAUGUGUGGCGAUGAGCUUGUUCAGAUUACAGCUCUCUCUAUUAAGUGCCGUCUCUUUGCGUUUGUUGGCGAACCUCCCUUCUGUGUGCAAGAUCAGGCUGUGAGGCCCUGUACUCCGCUGUUACUCAUUUCAUAAAUUUACUCAAGUAUUGACCGAUUAGCAGAAGAGAUAUUGCUCAGUAAUGUUACAGUGUAGCUUCAGCACGCGAAAGUUCCUUUACGUGUCAGCAGAGCUUUCUGUUUAACUAUUUGAAUUUCUCCUGUGCUGCGGAAGUCAAAUAUUGUAGGAUAAUUUUCAGAAUGGGAUGCUCUACCUCGAGAGUCGACAACGAAGACGCAAGAAGAGGAAGCGAUUGAUGAAGCAAACUGUAGCGUAUCGGCGUAACUUCGCAGCUUCACAAGCGAAAUUAAUUUCUUCUCUUUCCGACAAUUUGCAGAGGGAGAGGAGAUAAAGGAUGCAGGGGCUAACAUGAUGUGUCCUCCGGAAGCACCAAUGACUUCGAGGACAGUUGUCCUGUCACCAGGCCCUCCUCCCUUGUUACCAGCGUGGUCCCUUACAUAUGGUUUUUCUCGUGACUUUACAUCUUUUCCUCCUCACUCAUCGCUUCAAAGAAAUCCUUCAGCGACACGAUCACUUAAUUCAACAGCUGCUAGUUCUCCAGAGAGUUACAGCAUGGAUUUCUUGCCGCCUCCUGCUCCUUUUAUUGCGAAUGAGAACCGAACGGCACAUACUCCCCUGUCCGUAUCAACCAAAACACAUACAAGUUAGAAGGCAUUCCAAGUUCUUGCGUACGAGGAUCUUACAAAUUGGAGGACAUUCCCCCUCUACCUUUGGUUCAACCCAUUCAACUCGAUGAUGAUUGUAGAUACUCCUGUCUGACUCUAUCACAUGCUGCCAGAGAGAUUAACUCUCCUCCACCCGUCGCCAGUCGGUUAGUUGGCAGGAUUUGUUUGUAGAUCCAUUUCGAUCUUUAUCCUCAACAUUCAGUUACACAGAACUCAAAAGGAACCAUGAAAUGGAAGCAAGGGAAUGUCAGGAAAUGGGGGAACAAAGUAGACAAAAGUUUUAGCGGAGACAGAUACUGAAAGUGGACUAUGGCGGGAUCAAGACUUCACACAGGAGGUUGACAUACUUUUAUUUCGGUUCUCAAAACCGUAUUCUCCUUCUGUUCGAGUUUGCGUUCUAUGUAUAAUGGCUCACUGGACUCGAACGGAGUGAAGGAUGUUCAGACAUCAGGAACUCCAAACCUGAACCUGAGAAGCUUCCAAAAUCCUUAUCGAAGGUUCAGGACCAAAUAUCGACAAAUCCAAAAUCAGUGAACGCAGUGAAGGCGCCUGUAUCGAGGAAACCUUUGAAGCUCGAACAACGGGAGAAUACGGUUUUGAAAACCGAAAUGGAUCUGGCUGUUAUCAAGAUGAAGAGUAGUGAUCGGAACCUGCUCGACGUUCUGACGGAGGUUGAUGAUUAUUUUUUGAAAGCUGCCGAAAGAGGAGAGGAUAUUUCACGCAUUCUUGAGACAAAGAAAAUAUAAUAUAAUUAAUUUUUUCAGAGCUGACUCAUAUCUCUGAAUAUGAUACUAUGGGGUUUUUGAAAUCUGGAGGCAGAGGCUCUUGAAAUCGACUUGGAGAAAAAAUACUAUUUGCUAAAAAUCCCAAGAUGCAAAAAAGGAGGAUGAAAUUAACACAGACAAAACUGGGACGAGUAUAAGGGCUUUUUAAAUUUAAAUGGUGGUAGCUAUUCAAGCCGUAGAUGGUGCCACAAUUACCUCGAUGGGAACUAUGUGGAGGGGCAUUAUCUUUCUGCCAUCAAGCUCAGUUCAAAGCAGUUAAAGCUAUGAAUAGGCUCGAUAUCUCUGCUGCCUGUAAACCAACUACAAGCUUUCAUAGUGAUUCAACAGCACAACUCGAACUAGCUCUUCAGAGGUCAGCUUGGUUCUUUUUUAAAAAUAAUUCCGCUCUUUUUCGGUUAUCGAUUUAAUUUGCAUACAGAUGUGAUUCAAUUUGCAACUUUUCGAUUCCUCCUUCAAGCUGUUCAAUUUUCUGGUGCUUACCGAUUUGAAUACACUAGUUGCAUGUGGAACAUGGCUUGGUUUUUGAUUAAAAUCUUAUGUAGGAUUGUAAGGGAGUGUAAUGUGUUGCUUUAUGGCUGUACUUGAUAAGGUUGCUGAACUUGGUUGAAAAAUUUAGCUGUAGGUGGUCGGAAGGUCUGAGCUGAUUUGUUGAGUAAGAAAGAGAAUAAAUGGAGAAUUUAAAUACUUGAUUGAGUCUAAGUCUCACUAAAUAUGGGAGUAAGGAGGUGUAAACAAUCUAAAACCAAUUGGUGUUAAAAAACUUUUUUAAUUUUAGUACCAAAAUGGUAUAGUUAGUUCUCAAAUAGUUUACCAGUAGAUAAUAGUUGUUGGACAUCAUUACUAAAUUGUUAGUGGUUAUAAAUUGUUAGAGGCAAUCCCAAUAGAAAAAUUCACUUCAAUUGGGAAGAUAUUACCAACUAGAAAGAAUUGGAUGUUUAAAGAAUAAAACAUGUGCUUCUAAAUUAAGAGUUUUUUUUAGUGUUUUGACUAAGUCUUCAAGGUUAUAUAAGAAUAGUAGUAGAUAUUUCUAAGGAGUCUAAGACAAACAACAAUUGGAGUAAACUAGAUUGCCACAAAGAUAAGUGGUUAUUCAACUAACAUUGAAUUGUUGUUAAGUUUUCAAAUUGAAGUUAAUAAGUAUU